rnacentral:rRNA from 1 species
AGUGAACGCUGGCGGUAGGCCUAACACAUGCAAGUCGAACGGCAGCACAGUAAGAGCUUGCUCUUACGGUUGGCGAGUGGCGGACGGGUGAGGAAUACAUCGGAAUCUACUUUUUCGUGGGGGAUAACGUAGGGAAACUUACGCUAAUACCGCAUACGACCUACGGGUGAAAGCAGGGGAUCUUCGGACCUUGCGCGAUUGAAUGAGCCGAUGUCGGAUUAGCUAGUUGGCGGGGUAAAGGCCCACCAAGGCGACGAUCCGUAGCUGGUCUGAGAGGAUGAUCAGCCACACUGGAACUGAGACACGGUCCAGACUCCUACGGGAGGCAGCAGUGGGGAAUAUUGGACAAUGGGCGCAAGCCUGAUCCAGCCAUACCGCGUGGGUGAAGAGGGCCUUCGGGUUGUAAAGCCCUUUUGUUGGGAAAGAAAAGCAGCAGGUUAAUACCCCGCUGUUCUGACGGUACCCAAAGAAUAAGCACCGGCUAACUUCGUG